UGUCCUUGCUCAUUCUGAAAUUCAUUAUGGUAGUUUAUCUAUUCCUUGUACCCUGUUUUUUUCUGUUUGACCUCUAAAUAUAGCACUCCCUCUGUUCCGACCUUGCAGUCCAAAGUUCAAAAGCUUUUCUUAUCUAUAUGAUGAAGAUCAUUUCAUAGAUUCACUUUCCAAUGAUGUGGUUAUUGUGGCGGCUUGCCAAAGGAUCUCAGAGGCUUAAAAAGGAUAAAAUUUUCCACAGUAUCUCCUAGGAAUUCUGCCACUCUAGAGUACUACAUAACAGAAGUAUUACCCAGACUUGUAAACUCAAAAGCUAUUGGGAUAAUUGUUAACGGAGUCAAUUCUCCCUAUAAACCCGGAGGAAUUUCAGAAGCUUAGAUGCAAGAGGAUGGAUGAUCUGCGUGGAGAUUCUUUUGCCUGUAACAAUUUCUUUGGAGAAAUUUGCAAGCUUGAGCAUUCCUCAAAUGUUUAAACAAGAAACGUGCAUCCCUGCUCUCCAAUUUUUAUUUGAUUCUAUUGCUGGAUUUGAUUGUUGAAA